rnacentral:misc_RNA from 1 species
CUGGGGCCUCUCGGAUGCGCGACGUGGAGUUGCGAAGCUCAGUACGAAAAAAAAAAGAUAAACGCGGCCGGUGGCACAGCGCGAACGAUAGAAAACGCAACCGACGGUAAACAGGGGCACGCGGACGAGCAAAGCCAGCAACAAGAAGGCCGCCGCGCGUUCAGCGACGAACACUCGUUGUCGGUGGACUCUCUGCGUGUCACGUUCGCUCGCAAGUGUGGGGCCCCGGCUCUUUUUGGGCUGAGAGCAGCGGGCUUGCUUGCUCGAAGGAUCACACAGGCCAAGCGUAGAACACAUACUGGACAGAGGUACAUCCAUAGAAACACACACAUAUACAGGCACACACGCGUAGAAGGCAGCUUGCCAUCAAUCACAGCCAUCACCACCGCCACCAGCCUGCUUACUGUGCUCUUGUCUCCCUUUCUUAUUUUUUUCUGUUGCUGUCGUUCCUGCGCGUGUCUCUGUGCGCGCGUGCGUGCACGUCCCGGGCGUUUGUGUGUGUGUGUGUGCAG